rfam:Asian citrus Psyllid, Diaphorina citri - Florida Strain, whole genome shotgun sequence.
GCCUAGUUAGCUUAUUUGGUAGCGCGUCUGCCUUGUAAACUCUAGGUCGCGGGUUCGAUUCCCGCCCAGGGCG